ACACAUGCAAGUCGAGGGGCAGCAUGAUUGAAGCUUGCUUCAAUUGAUGGCGACCGGCGCACGGGUGAGUAACGCGUAUCCAACCUUCCGUACACUCAGGGAUAGCCUUUCGAAAGAAAGAUUAAUACCUGAUGGUAUGAUGAGAUUGCAUGAUAUCAUCAUUAAAGAUUCAUCGGUGUACGAUGGGGAUGCGUUCCAUUAGGUAGUAGGCGGGGUAACGGCCCACCUAGCCUACGAUGGAUAGGGGUUCUGAGAGGAAGGUCCCCCACAUUGGAACUGAGACACGGUCCAAACUCCUACGGGAGGCAGCAGUGAGGAAUAUUGGUCAAUGGACGAGAGUCUGAACCAGCCAAGUAGCGUGAAGGAUGAAGGUCCUACGGAUUGUAAACUUCUUUUAUAAGGGAAUAAAACCUCCCACGUGUGGGAGCUUGUAUGUACCUUAUGAAUAAGCAUCGGCUAACUCCGUGCCAGCAGCCGCGGUAAUACGGAGGAUGCGAGCGUUAUCCGGAUUUAUUGGGUUUAAAGGGAGCGCAGACGGGUCGUUAAGUCAGCUGUGAAAGUUUGGGGCUCAACCUUAAAAUUGCAGUUGAUACUGGCGUCCUUGAGUGCGGUUGAGGUGUGCGGAAUUCGUGGUGUAGCGGUGAAAUGCUUAGAUAUCACGAAGAACUCCGAUUGCGAAGGCAGCACACUAAGCCGUAACUGACGUUCAUGCUCGAAAGUGUGGGUAUCAAACAGGAUUAGAUACCCUGGUAGUCCACACGGUAAACGAUGGAUACUCGCUGUUGGCGAUAUACUGUCAGCGGCUUAGCGAAAGCGUUAAGUAUCCCACCUGGGGAGUACGCCGGCAACGGUGAAACUCAAAGGAAUUGACGGGGGCCCGCACAAGCGGA
rnacentral:rRNA from 1 species